GCAACCAGGAAUAUGCGCCCAGGACCCAGCCGGCACGUGCACAAUAUACGAGCCCACCUCCGAUUAUUACCCAAAAAAGAGCUUCUUCUACAACAUAACAUCCAAAAGAUGUGAAGAAUAUCGAGUAUGCAUGUCUCUUGGCUAUAUCCUCCAACAAAACUCGUUUGCAUCAAGAACGCUGUGCAUAUUGCACUGCCGUGGCUUCACACGGAAGGGCAUUUCCCAAAAAAGGGCUGAAUAGCAAUAAUCAUCAUCCCAUACUCUAUCAAUGGAAGAACAAGAUCGAAAGUCUCUCCUGGGUGGAUAUGGACGUAUUCUCGCUUAAAGAGGGAAGUUAUAUCGAAGAUUCAGACGAGAUUAUCAUGAGCCACCGAAACAGACUUCGCAACAUAUAUGCUAUAGGCUGACGAUAUUAAUCUGACAUCCUUCUGUGUACGUCCCAAUGUCAAUACACAAGUCUGUAUGUGCGCGUAACCAUAAAUGAUAUAAACCAACACUGAAAUCAG